ensembl:lncRNA
AUGACAGAACGCCGCGACUACGACAUGGACACGGCGGACUCUGAAAGAGCGAGAGAUGUCUUUCGCCUCCUGAGGCUGUGGCAGCGCAUUUCCCAUGCCUCGGAUAAACGGACUUUAUCUAUUGGAAUUAAUGCCAUUGAGGCAAUUUUUCUGGAUAACCCUCACCUGCGCCAGCUACCCAUAGCUUCGGAGUUUGCCCAUAAUCUGGCCCAAGCAAAAGAGGCACUCCAAGGCACGGAGCUGGCCCAACCCAUCACGUCACCCUCAACCACAUCCCAGCAAAAGGAUUUCUCCACACUGUCGCAGCAGAUGAAUUCUUCCAUGUCGCUGCAGCAGGGGGUGGUUGUUUCCUUGCCGCGGAAUCUCUUCCCCUCCACAUCCCGAUCUGACCCACAUUCGCCUGCCUCCUUCCCGGCUGCAAUGUGGUCAGAGGAUAAAGAGCAGGUCACCAGUUCUCCAUCAUCACCGACCUCCUCUGUUAUCUCUGCUCCCUCUUCCAGGAGAAAGCGGCGUCCACGCCACCGGCGCACAUCACCACGGCUGGAACCCAGUACUUCCUUUGAGAAACCAGUCGUGGUGAGUAAAAAAGACCUUUUUUGUGCUCCGUCCGAGCUGGGAAAGAAAAAGACUAUUCAUUCUGAGGCCAUCUAUUCCAGUUCUGUGGACUUUAAAGACUGUUUGCCUUGUGCUCCUUCCAAGCACGGAUUAACAAUAACUGCUCUACCUUUUUCUGUUUCGGACAUUGAGACAAAACUCAAGGACUCUAAGCUCUCAGUUUGUGAAUCUAGACUGACCCCCAACAAAAUUAAACUGUGUGUUUCCCAGGCCUCUGAAGCUACGUUUUGUGUUCCUCAGCUGACUCAUUCCAAGACUUUGCAUGAUGUUGUUUCUGUUUGUGCAACUCGAUCUGUUCAUUUGGAGACUGAUACACUUUCUGAAAGGACUGUUAAUAUGGACAAUAUACAAACUGUCUUCUCCGUUCCUGAGUCUGGUAGGGAUAAUUGUUUUGUUGCUGAGUUUACCUUGGGUUAUGGGAGUUCUGUUUCAGGCCUGGAUUGUGUUAUGCCCCACUCAGCUAGUAAUUCCAGGGCAGACUCUGAGUUUUGUGAGCUAACUUCAAAGACCCUACCAUCUGUGUGUGCCAAGACUGUUUUUGACGAUGCUAAACAUUUCCGCUCAGAGACUAAAACUCUUCCCGAGGUCUACCCAGAGGCUGGGCCUGUGACCUCAGCUGCAUCUGGACCAUCUGAGGUUUUGGAACCAAUGCAGCCUGUUCAACCAUCAUCUGUCUCCGCUGGGAGCUCAGGAGAGUCAUCCCAGCCACCUGCCUCUGCUGGGAGCUCAGCUGAGCCAUCUCAGCCAUAUGCAGCAGUCUCUGCUGGGUGCUUAGCAGAGCCAUUUCAGUCUCCUGUCUUACUUGGAACCUCAGACGAGCUUAUCCAGCCAGCUACGGACUCCAUUUUGCUGUCUGUGCCUGAAAAGUGCCCUAAGCACACUCUGUGCACUGCGCAGCCCCAGCCGCUGCAACCUGAGCUGGCUGUGUGCCCUGAGCAGCUCCAGCUAGCUUUGUCGUUACCAGAGGUCUCCGCAUCAUCUGGUUCUGCUCCACCAGAGGUUUCCACACCGGCUGGCUCCGCUCCAGUUUCCGCUGGAGGCUCAGGAGAGCCCAUCCAGCAGUUCCUUGUGUCAACUGGGGGCUCUGGAGAGUCUGUCCAGCCUUUGCCUGUCUCCGCUAGUGGCUCUGGAGAGUCCGUCCAGCCUUUGCCAGUCUCUGCUGGGGGUUCAGGAGAGUCUGUCCAGGCUUUGUCUGUCCCUGCUGGGGGCUCAGGAGAGUCCGUCCAGCUGCCUGCUGCUUCCACACAGCCACCAGCUCAACCACCAGCUCAGCCACCUGCACCUUCCAUGCCAUCUUCUGGCCCAAACACAUCUCCACCAGAGGUUAUCACGCUGUCUGGUCCAUCUCCACCAGAGGUCGUUGGGCCGUCUGAUCCAGCAACGUCUCUGCCAGAGGUUAUCACGCUGUCUGGUCCAUCUCCACCAGAGGUCGUUGGGCCGUCUGAUCCAGCAACGUCUCCGCCAGAGGUUGCCGCACCGUCUGGUCCUGCCUUGUCUGGUCCUGCCUUGUCUGGUCCUGCCUCAUUUGGUCCUGCUCAGCCCAAGCCAUCUGGAUCUGCUUGA